rnacentral:rRNA from 1 species
CCUACGGGAGGCAGCAGUAGGGAAUAUUGCUCAAUGGGGGAAACCCUGAUGUAGCAACGCCGCGUGAGGGAAGAAGUUUUUCGGUUUGUAAAGCCCUUUUGUUAGGGAAGAUAAUGACGGUACCUAACUAAUAAGCCCCGGCUAACUCCGUGCCGGCAGCCGCGGUAAUACGGAGGGGGCAAGCGUUACCCGGAUUGACGGGGGGUAAAGGGCGCGUAGGCGGGAGAACAAGUCAGAUGUGAAAUCCAAUGGCUUAACCACAGAACUGCAUUGGAAACUGUUAUGCUAGAGUAUGGGAGAGGUAGGUGGAAUUCUUGGUGUAGGGGUAAAAUGCGUAGAGAUCAAGAGGAAUACUCAUGGCGAAGGCGACCUGCUAGAACAUAACUGAUGUUGAUGCGCGAAAGCGUGGGGAGCAAACAGGAUUAGAUACCCUUGUAGUC